AGAACAUCUGUAUAAUUAAGACUUAAAAAUGUAUAAGGUCUUAUAUCCGAGUCCAAGAAAGUCAAAAGUCCAUAAUUAGAACAAUUCCCCUCGUACAAGGGAUUGGUUCACAAAAGUUUUACAGGUGCUGGUUUGGUCCUUUUAUUUUUUUUGGGCAGUGCUGGGUAUACAGGCUCAGGACAUUACAGAAUCCUUACAGGGUUCUCACAAGGGGAUGGGGUUAGGAUUUUUUUCUCUAUUUUUUAUUGCAUCGGGGUCCACGUGGAACCAACCCCAUGUCAGGGGUCGGUAAGACCCUAGUAAAAACAACUCUAUACACAAAGCUUUAUCCUAUUCUUUUUUCCUUUUUAAUUAUCUUUCAAUGCAAAAUUGUCGAGUACACUACCUAUAAAAAA
rnacentral:lncRNA from 1 species